UACGAAGGGGGCUAGCGUUGUUCGGAAUUACUGGGCGUAAAGGGCGCGUAGGCGGCUCUGAUCGUCGGAUGUGAAAGGCCUGGGCUCAACCUGGGAAUGGCAUCCGAUACGGCGGGGCUGGAGUGUGGGAGAGGUUGGUGGAAUUCCCAGUGUAGAGGUGAAAUUCGUAGAUAUUGGGAAGAACACCGAUGGCGAAGGCAGCCCCCUGGGUCAAAACUGACGCUCAUGCACGAAAGCGUGGGGAGCAAACAGG
rnacentral:rRNA from 1 species